rnacentral:tRNA from 1 species
UCCCUGGUGGCUCAGAGAUAAAAGCAUCUGCCUGCAAUGCACAAGACCUGGGUUCGAUCCCUGGGUCGGGAA